AACGAGGUUCGGCAUUUUCAUUUCUUUUCAUUUCUCCUCUUCCUCUUGUCCCAUAUCUGAAAAAAAAAAAAAUCGCCACCACCAGCCCCUCUUCAAGUCAGCAGACCGACGGUCGACGUCCCUUUUCAACUCUCCUCUGCUCGACGGUCGACGCUCGAGCUUAACGUCUCACACACGUGCACCAGUCACCAUCAUCGUUGGCAGAUUCAUUCAUCUCAUUGCACGGGUCACUAAGCUAGCUCGGGUUGGAGAUCAUCGGAGAUGCUAUCACACUAUCAAUUUAUCAUCGUGGGGUAAAAGUGAAUGCAAACCUCUUAACCUUAUGGCAUGUAUAGGGACUAAGUCACUUUGUUUAUGUGUUAUAUUAUUUAGCCAUAUGUAUUGGCUUAUGAUGAUUUAAUACUCCAAUUUGUAUAUAUAGCCGUGAAGGAUGGCUUAUGUUGAUAUUAUUAUUAUUCAUGUGUAUGUCAAUGUUUUAUGAUGUGGUUUAUAUUUGCUUGAUGAGUGACAGUUGAAUGUGUCCAAGUGGUUAUGUUGUUGAGUGACUAAGUUUGAUGUUGUAUGUAUGAAAAUGAUGGCAUGUGGUUGACAUGUUAA